rnacentral:rRNA from 1 species
CGAACGGCAGCACGGACUUCGGUCUGGUGGCGAGUGGCGAACGGGUGAGUAAUGUAUCGGAACGUGCCCAGUAGCGGGGGAUAACUACGCGAAAGCGUAGCUAAUACCGCAUACGCCCUACGGGGGAAAGCAGGGGAUCGCAAGACCUUGCACUAUUGGAGCGGCCGAUAUCGGAUUAGCUAGUUGGUGGGGUAACGGCUCACCAAGGCGACGAUCCGUAGCUGGUUUGAGAGGACGACCAGCCACACUGGGACUGAGACACGGCCCAGACUCCUAUGGGAGGCAGCAGUGGGGAAUUUUGGACAAUGGGGGAAACCCUGAUCCAGCCAUCCCGCGUGUGCGAUGAAGGCCUUCGGGUUGUAAAGCACUUUUGGCAGGAAAGAAACGUCAUGGGCUAAUACCCCGUGAAACUGACGGUACCUGCAGAAUAAGCACCGGCUAACUACGUGCCAGCAGCCGCGGUAAUACGUAGGGUGCAAGCGUUAAUCGGAAUUACUGGGCGUAAAGCGUGCACAGGCGGUUCGGAAAGAAAGAUGUGAAAUCCCAGAGCUUAACUUUGGAACUGCAUUUUUAACUACCGAGCUAGAGUGUGUCAGAGGGAGGUGGAAUUCCGCGUGUAGCAGUGAAAUGCGUAGAUAUGCGGAGGAACACCGGUGGCGAAGGCAGCCUCCUGGGAUAACACUGACGCUCAUGCACGAAAGCGUGGGGAGCAAACAGGAUUAGAUACCCUGGUAGUCCACGCCCUAAACGAUGUCAACUAGCUGUUGGGGCCUUCGGGCCUUGUAGCGCAGCUAACGCGUGAAGU